GUAGUGCCUAGGGAGAUACCAUGAUCACAAAGGUGGUUUCCCCAGGGCAAGGCUUAUUCAUUGCACUCUGGAUGUGCUGACCCCUGUGAUUUCCCCAAAUUUGGGAAACUUGACUGCAUAAUUUGUAGUAGUGGUGGACUAUGUGCAUGCUCUCCCU